GGGAGCGCCUGUGACAGCGCCACAGUCCACCGAGAGACGAGUCCGAGAACCGGACAGAUGACGCUCUCGGGGUACUCGGACUGAAACCUGCCAAGCCGGAUUUCCACCGUGUGGGAAGCCCCGCCGUUUACGGCGGGGAGGAUGUCACUGACCUUCUC
rnacentral:misc_RNA from 1 species